GAAUAUUGGGCAAUGGUCGAGAGACUGACCCAGCCAUGCCGCGUGAAGGAAGAAGGCUUUCUGAGUUGUAAACUUCUUUUAUCUGGGAAUAAAAUACCCUUGCGAGGGGAACUGAAGGUACCAGAUGAAUAAGCACCGGCUAACUCCGUGCCAGCAGCCGCGGUAAUACGGAGGGUGCAAGCGUUGUCCGGAUUUAUUGGGUUUAAAGGGUGCGUAGGCGGUUUUAUAAGUCAGUGUUUAAAGUCUGCAGCUUAACUGUAGGAAUGGCAUUGAUACUGUAGAACUUGAGUAAAGUUGAGGUAGGCGGAAUUGAAGGUGUAGCGGUGAAAUGCUUAGAUAUCUUCAAGAACACCAAUUGCGAAGGCAGCUUACUAAGCUUUAACUGACGCUGAGGCACGAAAGCGUGGGGAUCAAAC
rnacentral:rRNA from 1 species